CCUAAACUCCUGGAUCUAUAGUUCUUGAAUCGCAUUCAACGAUAGAUUUCCCCAUUUCUCAAGAUCAUGACAUACCAUAUGGUUAGACCCAUAUUCCUUGAUCAGAUUGGCACAGAAGAAUCAAGAAACUACACGAAUCGAUUUAAAAAAAAAAGCGUCGUACAGAUUUAUAAACUGGGAAUACAUCGUCAUGGCAGAAGAGAAUAAACUCCAAGAAAUAACAAGAACCAAGAAUAUGACCACAUAGCAUGGAAGAUUGGGUACCUCGUCCAGGUGUCCGGAUCGACCCAUUGGCGAUGGGGAGCCGCAUGGUGGGGGGAGAAACCCGAGACAUCUGCCUGCGAGAGAACCGACAUCCCCCCGCCCCCUUGCGCGGCAAGACCAGUGGAUCCGCGGUGGCGAUCGUACCCGGUUUCGCCCGCUCCUUCUUGGAUCCAAGGACGUCCGCAGAACUGCGAUCGAGGGAACUCGAAAGAGGGUUUCGAUCGAACAAACUUGGGUGGAUCGGAAAGCAACGAGGAGGGAAAAGGGAUGCAAACCGUUUAAAUCGUGACGACGCUAAUCUUUUUCCCUUCGAAUCCUCGUUUCUUUGCGUACGGAAAC
rnacentral:lncRNA from 1 species